rnacentral:misc_RNA from 1 species
AAGGCUUGACAUAUGCCGGAAGCGCUCAGAGAUGGGUGUGCCUUUUGGGUCGGUGUACAGGUGGUGCAUGGCUGUCGUCAGCUCGUGUCGUGAGAUGUUGGGUUAAGUCCCGCAACGAGCGCAACCCUUGUCCUGUGUUGCCAGCAACCUCUUUGGAGGGUUGGGGACUCACGGGAGACUGCCGGGGUCAACUCGGAGGAAGGUGGGGAUGACGUAACUGUACCAUAGA